rnacentral:tRNA from 2 species
UGCGGGAUAGAGCAGCCAGGAAGCUCGCCGGGCCCAUAACCCGGAGGUCGAUGGUUCAAAUCCAUCUCCCGCGA